rnacentral:lncRNA from 1 species
UUGGUGGCUUGAGGGAAAGGGGUUCUGAGUUGCAAAUCAGAAACUUGAAGAUGAAAUGGCUACUACGCUGGGUAUUGCCUUUAUCUUGAAUGCCAGCCUGAUGGUCCAAGGUGAACAAGCCUUCCUGUGUUUUCUGAAUGUGCAGUUCCCCCGCACUUUGCCUGCCACCAUGUAAGAUGUGUCUUUGCGCCUCCUUUGCCUUCCACCAUGAUUGUGCGG